GGAGGGAUCGCAUAGAGGCCUAGUGCGCGGCUCUGGAAAGGCCGUUGGGGAGUAAUCCCCUCGUGGGUUCGAAUCCCACUCCCUCCG
rfam:Candidate division WWE3 bacterium RBG_16_37_10 RBG_16_scaffold_417, whole genome shotgun sequence.